UAGUUUUUAGUAUAAAAAAUUACGUUUUAUUUACAAUAAAAAAAUAUUAGAUUAAUAAAACUAU
rnacentral:tRNA from 1 species